AAAAUAGAACUGAUAAGUUAUUGCAUUAUAUUUUAAUGAUGCCUGUUAACUAGUACAAAUUACUUAAAAUAGUUAAAAUGCCUGUUAAACUAGUAAAAAAUAUAAAAAUAGUUUAAAAAGGUGUUUUGUAAGUGCAUUGUAAUUUAUCAUCUUCCGAAAAAAUGUAAAAUGAUAAUUAAAUUUCAACAAUUUUGGACUACUCCCUGGUAUCUGUCUAACCACGAGGAGGUAACCGCUUCUGAAGACCCGGGAUGUGCAUCCUGAAGAUGUCCCCAUCCGAAUUAAAUUGAAACCACAGAAAAUGAAAGUCCCGAGAA
rnacentral:lncRNA from 1 species